rnacentral:rRNA from 1 species
CCUACGGGUGGCAGCAGUAGGGAAUCUUUCACAAUGGGCGAAAGCCUGAUGGAGCAACACCGCGUGCAGGAUGAAGGCCUUCGGGUUGUAAACUGCUUUUAUAAGCGAGAAAUAUGAUGGUAACUUAUGAAUAAGUAUCGGCUAACUACGUGCCAGCAGCCGCGGUCAUACGUAGGAGCCGCGCAUUAUCCGGAGUGACUGGGUGUAAAGAGUUGCGUAGGUGGCAUAAUAAGUAGCUAGUGAAAUCUGGUGGCUCAACCAUUCAGACUAUUAGCUAAACUGUUAAGCUCGAGACCGUUAGGGGUAACUGGAAUUUCUAGUGUAGGAGUGAAAUCCGUAGAUAUUAGAAGGAACACCAAUAGCGUAGGCAGGUUGCUGGGACGGUUCUGACACUAAGGCACGAAAGCGUAGGGAGCAAACGGGAUUAGAUACCCCUGUAGUC